GUUGUUGUUCUACUCAGGAUGAAGUGGAUCUCACUGUGGCUUUGAUUUGGAUUUCCGUAUUGACAAUUGAUAUUGGUUUUCUGUCUUAAACUUCCAGUGUAGUGGUAAAAACAGAUUUCUCUGUCUAGUUCCUGAUAUUAAAGAAUUUGUCAGUGUGGCCAUCUCGUCUUGUGUUUUCUUUUUGGGGAGGUUUUGACUACGAAUUCAAUCACUUUACCUAUGGAUCAACAGGUACCCAGAGUAUGCUCUUCUCAUGACAAAUGGCAAAAUCCCAAUGAGUGAAAAUAUUUGAUGUCUAAUAAAGCCUCAGCUUACAACUGACUAAAAGGCUUUUCAUAUGGCUCUUUUCAUUGCAUUCCUGCUUAUUUCCUAUAUGUCAACA
rnacentral:lncRNA from 1 species